CUGCAUCAUCAUCGGGAACCUCAGCAACCUGGAGCCCACAUCCUCGGAGUACACCGCCCUGCUGAGAGACACCCAGGACCAGGUCAGCAAGCUCUACAGAGGCAGCCAGCUGUGAGACAUAUUCCACUCCUGCCUGGUCACCGACUUGAUGUCUGUCCCCCACAGUAACCACACUGGAGCGGACUCCCUGUG